GGGUUGUGAGGUUAAGCGACUAAGCGUACACGGUGGAUGCCCUGGCAGUCAGAGGCGAUGAAGGACGUGCUAAUCUGCGAAAAGCGUCGGUAAGGUGAUAUGAACCGUUAUAGCCGGCGAUGUCCGAAUGGGGAAACCCAGUGCAAUUCGUUGCACUAUCGUUAACUGAAUACAUAGGUUAACGAGGCGAACCGGGGGAACUGAAACAUCUAAGUACCCCGAGGAAAAGAAAUCAACCGAGAUUCCCCCAGUAGCGGCGAGCGAACGGGGAGCAGCCCGGAGUCUGAAUCAGCUUGUGUGUUAGUGGAAGCGUCUGGAAAGUCGCAGGGUACAGGGUGAUACUCCCGUACACUAAAGCACACAGGUUGUGAACUCGAAGAGUAGGGCGGGACACGUGGUAUCCUGUCUGAAUAUGGGGGGACCAUCCUCCAAGGCUAAAUACUCCUGACUGACCGAUAGUGAACCAGUACCGUGAGGGAAAGGCGAAAAGAACCCCGGCGAGGGGAGUGAAAAAGAACCUGAAACCGUGUACGUACAAGCAGUAGGAGCCCACUAGUUGGGUGACUGCGUACCUUUUGUAUAAUGGGUCAGCGACUUAUAUUCUGUAGCAAGGUUAACCGUAUAGGGGAGCCGCAGGGAAACCGAGUCUUAACUGGGCGUUAAGUUGCAGGGUAUAGACCCGAAACCCGGUGAUCUAGCCAUGGGCAGGUUGAAGGUUGGGUAACACUAACUGGAGGACCGAACCGACUAAUGUUGAAAAAUUAGCGGAUGACUUGUGGCUGGGGGUGAAAGGCCAAUCAAACCGGGAGAUAGCUGGUUCUCCCCGAAAGCUAUUUAGGUAGCGCCUCGUGAACUCAUCUUCGGGGGUAGAGCACUGUUUCGGCUAGGGGGUCAUCCCGACUUACCAACCCGAUGCAAACUACGAAUACCGAAGAAUGUUAUCACGGGAGACACACGGCGGGUGCUAACGUCCGUCGUGAAGAGGGAAACAACCCAGACCGCCAGCUAAGGUCCCAAAGUCAUGGUUAAGUGGGAAACGAUGUGGGAAGGCCCAGACAGCCAGGAUGUUGGCUUAGAAGCAGCCAUCAUUUAAAGAAAGCGUAAUAGCUCACUGGUCGAGUCGGCCUGCGCGGAAGAUGUAACGGGGCUAAACCAUGCACCGAAGCUGCGGCAGCGACACUAUGUGUUGUUGGGUAGGGGAGCGUUCUGUAAGCCGUUGAAGGUGGCCUGUGAGGGUUGCUGGAGGUAUCAGAAGUGCGAAUGCUGACAUAAGUAACGAUAAUGCGGGUGAAAAACCCGCACGCCGGAAGACCAAGGGUUCCUGUCCAACGUUAAUCGGGGCAGGGUGAGUCGACCCCUAAGGCGAGGCCGAAAGGCGUAGUCGAUGGGAAACAGGUUAAUAUUCCUGUACUCGGUGUUACUGCGAAGGGGGGACGGAGAAGGCUAUGUUGGCCGGGCGACGGUUGUCCCGGUUUAAGCAUGUAGGCGGAUGUUCCAGGUAAAUCCGGAACGUCACUAACGCUGAGGUGUGAUGACGAGGCACUACGGUGCUGAAGUGACAAAUGCCCUGCUUCCAGGAAAAGCCUCUAAGCAUCAGGUAACAUCAAAUCGUACCCCAAACCGACACAGGUGGUCAGGUAGAGAAUACCAAGGCGCUUGAGAGAACUCGGGUGAAGGAACUAGGCAAAAUGGUGCCGUAACUUCGGGAGAAGGCACGCUGAUGGUAGGUGAAGCGACUUGCUCGUGGAGCUGAAAUCAGUCGAAGAUACCAGCUGGCUGCAACUGUUUAUUAAAAACACAGCACUGUGCAAACACGAAAGUGGACGUAUACGGUGUGACGCCUGCCCGGUGCCGGAAGGUUAAUUGAUGGGGUUAUCCGUAAGGAGAAGCUCUUGAUCGAAGCCCCGGUAAACGGCGGCCGUAACUAUAACGGUCCUAAGGUAGCGAAAUUCCUUGUCGGGUAAGUUCCGACCUGCACGAAUGGCGUAAUGAUGGCCAGGCUGUCUCCACCCGAGACUCAGUGAAAUUGAACUCGCUGUGAAGAUGCAGUGUACCCGCGGCAAGACGGAAAGACCCCGUGAACCUUUACUAUAGCUUGACACUGAACACUGGUCCUUGAUGUGUAGGAUAGGUGGGAGGCUUUGAAGUGUGGACGCCAGUCUGCAUGGAGCCAUCCUUGAAAUACCACCCUUUAAUGGCUGGUGUUCUAACGUGGGCCCGUAAUCCGGGUUGCGGACAGUGUCUGGUGGGUAGUUUGACUGGGGCGGUCUCCUCCUAAAGAGUAACGGAGGAGCACGAAGGUCAGCUAAUCCUGGUCGGACAUCAGGAGGUUAGUGCAAUGGCAUAAGCUGGCUUGACUGCGAGCGUGACGGCGCGAGCAGGUGCGAAAGCAGGUCAUAGUGAUCCGGUGGUUCUGAAUGGAAGGGCCAUCGCUCAACGGAUAAAAGGUACUCCGGGGAUAACAGGCUGAUACCGCCCAAGAGUUCAUAUCGACGGCGGUGUUUGGCACCUCGAUGUCGGCUCAUCACAUCCUGGGGCUGAAGUAGGUCCCAAGGGUAUGGCUGUUCGCCAUUUAAAGUGGUACGCGAGCUGGGUUUAGAACGUCGUGAGACAGUUCGGUCCCUAUCUGCCGUGGGCGCUGGAGAAUUGAGGGGGGCUGCUCCUAGUACGAGAGGACCGGAGUGGACGCAUCACUGGUGUUCGGGUUGUCAUGCCAAUGGCAUUGCCCGGUAGCUAAAUGCGGAAGAGAUAAGUGCUGAAAGCAUCUAAGCACGAAACUUGCCCCGAGAUGAGUUCUCCCUGACUCCUUGAGAGUCCUGAAGGAACGUUGAAGACGACGACGUUGAUAGGCCGGGUGUGUAAGCGCAGCGAUGCGUUGAGCUAACCGGUACUAAUGAACCGUGAGGCUUAACCUUACAACGCCGAAG
rnacentral:rRNA from 1 species